rnacentral:lncRNA from 1 species
AAAGGGCCGCGGAGCAGCGGCGGCACGGUGCGGAGAUGGCAGCGCCCUUCUGACGGCGGCACUCCGUGCCCUACGCCGCUCCCGUCGCUUUACGUUUCAGGAAGCCUCGGGAGGCCGAAUUCCGCCCAAAAGAGCCCCGCGGGAGGUAAGGAGCGACGCCGCGGCCGCCCGUGGCGGGGUCUGUCAGCACCCCGCCCGCCUCUUCUCACCGCGGAGGCGUUGGCAGGAACGGCUCCACGCGGGAGGCGGCCCGGAGACGUUCGGCACCGGGGAGCUGCCGGGCGCACGGCCCUCACCGCGGCGCCCAGGCGGGGACAGACAGCGCCGGGGGCCCGGGACGCACAGCCAGCGCCUCCAGAACGAGGCAGAGUCGGCCCCGCGGUGACGGGAGGGCGCACAGCUCUGGCUGCCUCUCCCUUACGCCCCGGCUGCGUGCAGCUGCACAGUUUUCCUGCUGAGAUCCCCCAGCCGCCCCUCGUUCGUGAGUACAGAAAGGCGAACGGUAGCGAGGUGAGCAGGCUUGAAGCAGGAAAACGCUGUGCUCGGGCUACCAGCUGUCCCCGGCCACGAAACGAGGGGAAAAAGAAAGCAUGUUUAAGGGCCUCAGUACGACAGUUCCCUGUCAGAAGCAAUAGUGCAGGCAGUAUUGUUAACAGAAGUAUGAAUUAUAAUUUCCCCCCGAGAUAACCCCGGAGAUAUGUGUGUGUAUAUGUGCCACCCGUACGUUCAAGUCCAGUUGCUUUUCUGCAUGAAAAUGAAAUAAUGUGCAGCACUUCGAAUUUGGUGUCAGGCGGCUUCAAUAAGACCAAUUCCGUGACUAAUCAGUGCCCCAGAUCUCCGCGUUUGGUGGUGUUGGCUGUGCAGAUGUACUGCAGAACCGGACUCGGGGCCUUGCAGCAGUCCCCCGCUACUUGCCGUGUUUUACAGCUACACACGGUAACGAUACCGUAAAAUAGAAGGAAUUGCCCCGAUCGGCAGCAAAACCCCCUCCCGGAGGGCGCUGCUGGCAGCGGGCUGCAGGGACAGAGCCGGCCGCGUUCCCGGCCCUGCAGCCGCGCAGCGCUGCCCGGGGGCACCUCGGAGCGGAGUGCGGAGCUGCGAGAACGGAAAGCUUCGCUGUGACUUCUCACCUGAGCUUCCCGAGCCGGGGCACGUCGGGCCGCUCACCUCUACUUCACAUUCCGGAUCAAAUCCUUCCCGCGUUGAUCCAGCGAAGAUAUCACUAUUUAAAGUAAUCCUGUGAUAGACGUGAACACGGCGUAACUUAUCUUGACGGCACACCUAGAACGCAAAAUCGGUGCCGGGAAUGAUCUGGCUCCGGUCCAGUUUCCAAACCUUGCCUUUCAGACCUCGUUACAGUUACUCUCUAGUAAUGCGUGGGUGGAUUUGUUUGUAGCUCAGCCCGGGCUGCCACGGGCACUGCACCAAUUCCUGGUACCGACGGCUGCGCUGCACGCGGCGGCUGUGAGGGCAGCGCUGGUCGGACCGCUGCGUGUCGGUGCGCGGAACGCCAGCGGUUGAACGGGUUAAUAAGAAACCUCUCGGGAAGCCUCGCCAGCUUAAACUAAAGCAGGUAAAAUGUAACAUCCAGCUUUUCUGACCCUCUGCCCUUCCAUCCCGAGCGGUGUUUUAGUACGGCUUGAAUCCACCUCGAAGCUCUGCGUAGUUUUGCAGCCACCGAGGGGCACCGGACGUGUCCUGAAGGCGUCCAGCAGCGCUCCCGCAGCGCCUCGGAGCUGCUCCCGUGCGGACGGGCAGCGCUGGAGGCGCGCACACAGCCCUCCCCUCCCCCUGAGCGGGGUCCCCUCGCUCUCCCCCCACGCAGACGGAUUCCGCCGGGACCCGCGGCCGCUCUCCUUCCCCCGCGGUUCGCUCUGCUAUUUGCCAUCGUGCGGAAUCUGAAAACCCGUGAGUAGCAGCCCCCGCCGAGGAGAAUAGAGAAACAAUGAAGGAUUCUCUUUCCUAAAGCUGGGGAAGGAGCUCGGUUCCGAGAUGACGUGAC